rnacentral:rRNA from 1 species
GAUGAACGCUGGCGGCGUGCCUAAUACAUGCAAGUCGAGCGAACAGACGAGGAGCUUGCUCCUCUGACGUUAGCGGCGGACGGGUGAGUAACACGUGGAUAACCUACCUAUAAGACUGGGAUAACUUCGGGAAACCGGAGCUAAUACCGGAUAAUAUAUUGAACCGCAUGGUUCAAUAGUGAAAGACGGUUUUGCUGUCACUUAUAGAUGGAUCCGCGCCGCAUUAGCUAGUUGGUAAGGUAACGGCUUACCAAGGCGACGAUGCGUAGCCGACCUGAGAGGGUGAUCGGCCACACUGGAACUGAGACACGGUCCAGACUCCACGGGAGGCAGCAGUAGGGAAUCUUCCGCAAUGGGCGAAAGCCUGACGGAGCAACGCCGCGUGAGUGAUGAAGGUCUUCGGAUCGUAAAACUCUGUUAUUAGGGAAGAACAAAUGUGUAAGUAACUAUGCACGUCUUGACGGUACCUAAUCAGAAAGCCACGGCUAACUACGUG